AGCUGAUUAAGUCAUUUUCCUUCAUGAGCAAUGAAGGGUUUAGGGUUGAUUUUUCUCCUGGCAACAGUUAAUUUUGGUGAAAAGACAUCAUGAAAAUAUUGAUGGAGAACAGCAAUAUUAAUCCAUCAGACAUUAUUUAUUAGCGAUGUGUUAUGUAACAAAUACAAGCCAUAAAUUUAAUGAAAUGCAAUGUUAUCAAUCAUUCACCAUUUAUAAUGAAGGCCCAUAGAACUUCAUUUGAAUAUUCCCUUCUCACAAUCUGCUUAUUAUAAACUCAGCUGUGACUGCCUUUUCUAUCCUGUGACAAAUCCCCUUUCCUUCUUUGCUUCCUAAUUACUAAUCCUCCUUUACAAUUCUAAGAAAGUAACUGCUCUCUCUAUCUGUUGCUAUGGCUUCCUAGCCUAAUACCAAGUUCUCGCAUCCUUUCUGCUGAGAGUAACCUGAUGUUUUUUUCAGGUGGUAAUGUGCCCAACACCUGGAAGAUAAAUCCUAAUUGGUCUCAGCCAAUCAAAGAACCCAUUCCGUUUCACCUGUGAUUAAUCUAGAAGUAGAUAAUGUAACAAGUUCUGGCAAAUAAGAUGGAAGGAGAAUUCUGCUGGGGUAUUUGGGUAAGACUUUCCACCCUGAAUAAUGAGAUAUUAAGAAAAGAAAACUUCUUGAUGACCCCUUGCUUCUUGCUCAGGCCAUUAUCAUGGGAUGAUGUGAUGUUUGGAACAGAGACAGCCGUCUUGUGAACAUGAGGGCAGACAUCUCUCACUCUGAAGAUGACAGAUGAAAAGGAAGGAACGUGCCUGAGUCUUUGAUGCUACCUCAAGCUGCCCAACAAACCCCGAGACUGCCUGACAACAGGAUUUUUAUUAAAGUGGCUUGAUGAGCGGUGUGCAGAUCCGUGCCUGGGAUCCAAACCCAUGAACCCCAGGCUGCUGAAGUGGAGCACGUGAACUUAACUGCUAUGCCACCAGGCCAACCCCACCAUACGCCUAAGUAUUUAAAAGCUAAAAUUUAAGCUACAAACUGCUACAUAAAAUACGUUCUGUCCUCAUGCCUUGGAAAGUAUUAUGCCAUCACAAUGACCUGAAAAGCCAAAUUUCAAUUUUGAAUGUUUGGACUCAUUCUGGAACAUCACGACAGAACGCGGUGGUGCAAUGAAAGCCUACUCCAGUCCCUGAGCCGUGGGUGGCCCUCUUUUUUCCCCAGGCCCCAGCUAUCUCCUAACUGUAAGAUGUGUCAAAAGAAUACCUUGGGAAACUUUAGCCGGCAAGUUCAAGUUUUGUCCACACUUGCCCAUACUCCAAACAGCCACCUGGGGCACCCCUUGGGCCCCGAGGCAUGCACACCAUUGGAAGGGCGGACCUCAGGAAGAAUUUCCCAUGUUGCCUGCCUUCUCAGAGAUGACCCCAGCUGUUGCACAUCUCUCACCUGGUUUUAUUUUUCUGUGUAGAUUAAUAUAUUGGCAUUCUGAUUUCAUGCCUCAGACUUCACAACUUGCUUCUCCACCUCUGAGAAAUGCAUCCUUUCUUUUCAGUGCUGAUUCUCAGGCUCAGGACAUGGUGAUUUGGGCCGGGUACCCUGGGGAGGAGCAGGCAGGCUUUCUCAGCUUAAGGUGCUUCUUAGUUGCCUUCAAAUGUGUCCGCCUUCCUUGUUAGUGCCUCUCCUGGAGCUUCUCCAUCUUUCACCUGCACUUGAAUAUCCUGGGAACCUAAUUAGAAUGCAAACCCUGACUAAAGGCCUCUGGGUGGAGUCUGAAAGUUUGUGAGUCUAACGAAUUCACAGGUGUUGCUGAUGCUGUUGAUGGGGGGUCCACACUUUGAGAACUGUUAGGCCUGGCUCCUCAAGGGGCAAUGCAGGACCCACAGCAUUAGCAUCGCCUGGGGCUUGUUAGAAAUGCACCUACUGAAUCAGAAUCUCUGCGGGCUAGGCCCCAGAGAUCUGUGUUGUAACAAGCCCUCCCAAUUCUCAUAUGCAUGAGAACAUUGGGCUGGAACUUCUGCUGGACUUGUGUGCAUUAACUACCGCUUCAUUUCCUCCUCCUCUGCCAUGAAAGAUCAAGAGAAGGAAACAUUUUUAUAAAUGUAAACAUACACAUAUUUAUACUUAUGUUAUAUAUAAAAAUGUAAAUAU
rnacentral:lncRNA from 1 species